rnacentral:rRNA from 1 species
UACGUAGGGUGCAAGCGUUAAUCGGAAUUACUGGGCGUAAAGCGUGCGCAGGCGGUUGUGCAAGACAGAUGUGAAAUCCCCCGGGCUUAACCUGGGAAUUGCAUUUUGUGACUGCACGGCUAGAGUGUGUCAGAGGGGGGGGUAGAAUUCCACGUGUAGCAGUGAAAAUGCGUAGAUAUGUGGGAGGAAUACCGAUGGCGAAGGCAGCCCCCCCCUGGGAUAACACUGACGCUCAUGCACGAAAAGCGUGGGGG